AAUGAAUGAGCACACAUUCAACAUGAAAAACAAAUUGUUAUGAUCUUGUAUUGUAAUUUCAUGAUGCAGCAUUAAUGGAACUGCAUGAAAAGAUAUUCUUGAAACGGCAUGUCAAAGAUGGUGAAAGCCCAAUGGCUUCAUGUGCUUUCUGUGCACGGUCUGCAUUUGGUGAUUCACAUUCCUUGGCAAUGGAAUGCAAACAGGUGGUAAAUUCCAUCCAAUAUAACAAUACAACAUUGAGGCUGAUAACAAACAAGUACCAUGAGGGAAAUAUGAAAAGGACUUUGGAAAGAGAAUUAAAAGAGUUUGCAUUUGCUUGGCAUAAAACAAAUUAAUGUUGUCAUGGCCAAAAGAUUGUUGCAUUUCUGGGUGUGUGCCAACAUUGCUCAGCAAGUGUAAUGCUUCUUUCCCCCCACAAAGCUGUUGCAUUCAUGGAUCAUUCUUGUUUGGUGCUGGCAAUAUGUGUUGCAUAGUGGUGCUCUGUUUGCAUUUCUGAUUUCUGAUGUUAUGCGCACGCCUUUUGAAGCUGGACAGACAUGGCUGGGUGGUUUGUGUAUCUUCUUGGAGGAGUGGCUUGUGUGCUGACAAAGAAGGUUGCUUGACCCGUCUUGAAACACGGACCAAGGAGUCUAACAGACGUGCAAAAGAAUGAUUUAAAAUGUGGCAAAACUGAAAGGAAGAGUUAGCAUGUGUGCUCCAACGGCCAAAUGCUUGGUAGACACGCAUUUGAAUUUGAGCAUGUUUGUUAGGACCC
rnacentral:rRNA from 1 species